rnacentral:lncRNA from 1 species
GCGAGGGAGACCGAGACGCCGUGGUGACGGCGGCUGGAGCGGAGGUCGAGCUGUGACGGGCGCCGGGGUGCAGGCGGCGAGAAGGCUGGGGCGAGCGUGGAAGGGUGCAGCAAGGAGGCGGAUGAGGCCAUCUUCUUCCUCUCGCUCGGGCGGUCGGGUUGCUCUGUUCUCCGACGAGGUGCCGAGAUGGUAACCACGAGUUCGGAGUCUCUGGCUCUGUGGCUGUGAAGGAACGAGACGAGGGCUCUGCCUGUGAGUGUGACCGUGUGAGUGAGGAGUGGACACUUGUGGCGCACACGUCGACGGUAGACAAGCACGAGCUUAAGGCCACCGUAAUUCCUCGACUUUAACUCUCUCUUUUUUCCCAAAGAAGCCUAACUGGCAUAUAAAAAUCAUGACAUAUACACAAGGGUAAAAUUAUAAUCUAAGCCUUGGGGUUGUUCAAGUCUUCUUCCUCGUACAUCUGUCGACGACGUGUCACGAGCAAAGCUUGGUGCCGCCUCCUAAGCCUUCUUUUUGGCAGAGCAAACUUUUAUACACAUGGGAGCUUGUAGAAGCAGCAUCCAGAAAGUCGCCGAUUCAGACCAUGAGACACCGGCAACCGUGAUUGAGAUAAUUCUAUCGUAUUCAUCGCAAUGUGGGACCAACUUGUACUAGCUAAGUGCCCGUGAUGUAAUCAUGAUUUUUUUAUGAAACAAUUGUUUUGAGUAGUUGUUGUUGUGUCUCCUUAACAACCAUCUCCUUGCAAGAAUGCAAAAGACCACAUCUUUUCUCCUCCAUUAUCUUCAUUCAUCCUUGCUCUGGCAUUGUUGUCGCCUCAAAACUUUUUCAUCUCGCCUUACCAUCGCUUGGGAACAUUUUUAAAAAUUAAACAAACAAAUGAAAUUGUUCUGAUCUAUCAUAAUAGAUAUUGGCUUGGCCAUUUAGGCAAUGCAAUACAGUCAUAAACUUUGUGAUUUGCCAUAGAACAGAUAAAUCAUACUCUAAUUCUUCCAUGGAUCCUUUGUCAUUGUAUUUGAGGUAUACCUAAGUGAAAGUUCACUGAAACAAUAUUUAGGGAGUAGAGAAGAUUGCAAGUCAUUUACAUUACAAUAUUUCUUUCACCCCAGAUAAUCAAGCAUUUUCCUUGUGUACUUGAAAUCAAUGCAUAAAAGCAUAAGUCAUUAGCAUGUGAUUAAAUAGCUCAAUUCUAUGGAACGAUUGGUAAUUCCAAAUUUUAUGUUCCGAAAGGAAAUUCUAGAAUUAUAGUUGGCAAACCAACAUAGGUACAACAACAGUUACAAGAACGUUGGAUUCUGGAGCCUUGUGCAACAUAUCUUGGAAAAAAGUUAAGUCCACAUAUGGCGCCCCUUAAUUAUGUGGUAAACAUCAUGUCAUCUCUAAACCUCUCGACUUUUAUUUUCCUGUGUGCACAGGCACGAAAGUCCAAAAACACACCUUUUCAAAUCAGCUAUAUCAAAUGGUAAAUAAACCAGGUAUACUAAAUAAGGGUUGCCCUCCACAAUCAUUUAGCAUAAUAUGUACAUAAGAAAUAUUUCGCCCUUACUAAUAAUGCACUGCCCCAAAUACAACCCAACUGAAAUAGAAAACGUUCUGUACAAAAAAUAUCACAGAACGCACCCGGUAAUUCUACGAAGUUGUUUGGAUGGGUGUUGCAUAAACGUUACCGGAAUCAACUUCCUCAACCUCACAGGAAGAAAAGGCAACUUCCUGUCAUCUCCUUCCAUUAGUUCACUGUACCAUGUAAAUCGGCGAGUCGGAUGGUUUGACAAGAUUCUUCAUCUAAGAUCUAAAGAACAAAGAAAACUAAGAUGAAUUCCACAAAUCAAGGGUCUUGUGAUUGGUUCGGAUACAAAAGCCUGGUGCAACAGUACAUCAGCAAAAAGUGUGUGACAUAGAUAGAGAUGCAACAUACAUAAAUGAGUAUAAGAUAUAGAUAGAGAUGGCUAUAAUAUUUUGAUACAAUGAAAUUGUUGAAGUUAAUUUUACAAAAGAACAAGGCGGGUUAUGGGAGUGUGUGACCUGAAUUAUUGAUUUGUCCACACAAAUAAAGAAUUGGAUCUGCCGGAGUUCGGCAUUUGCCGUCGUGUCACGACCAAAACCCACUUUUAGGGGAAUCUGUUUACGGUAACUGUGAAAACACCUUACAUGUCAACUUACCCUAAGUUUUACGCACACCCCAUAAAACUACUUUUACAUGGAGUUUUUUUUUACGGAGCUCCUGGAUACUAAAUUUAUAUGAGGAUUGCCGUUUUGGCUCUGGGAUGCAUAUGAUCUCAGAUGAAUAGUAAAUUCAAAUAAAUACUCCCUCCGUCCCAAAAUAAAUGUCUCAACUUUGUAUUAAUUUUAGUACAAAGUUGUACUAAGGUUAAGACACUUAUUUUAGGACGCAGGGAGUAGUAAGUAAAAUUUAAAAAUUCUGAUUUUUGUGUGCAGAUGUUCUUGUUAGUGUAACAAGCGUGAUUGACAAUAUUCGUGCUAAAUGGGAUAGUAAUGUUUCAUUGAUGAGACGAAUAAAAUUAAGUGUAACAUUUGGAGGUAAUAUUUGGCGUUUGAUUUGUUUUGUUUUCACAGGUCAAAAUGCUUAAACUUUGCCCCUAAAAUUUACAGGUAGCAUUUCAGUGUGACAAUGGACCCAUCUUUUUUUUUUCUAUUCUUUUGACAUUUGCCAAAAAAACAUUUUUGAUGCGUAAGAACAUAUGCCCCCAAGAGUCGAAUUGGAUUUUGGAUUUGUAUGCGGCAUCAAUUCUUGUGAAAUGUCAAUGUAUAUUCUACAAAAGCUAUUGAUAUAGCUUAGAAUGUUUUUUUUAUAAAAGUAGCUUAUGUAUUAUACAUACAAAAAGUUCUAUGGAGCCUUAGCACGACGACUUCCCAACUGUCUACUGCAACAAAUUUUUUUCCAGCUCUAGCGAGAGAGAGGCAAUAAUGAUGGCGCACCUUCGGUUCGCUUAUUUCUGUUGUUCGUUGUAUUGUGAAUAGAUCGGAAGUUUUCCUGUCAAAAAAUAGUCCUCCAUUAUACCAGAAAUAAAUAAAUAAAUAAGCACAAGUAAGUACGUAGUAUCAUCUCAUCGUUCGAAUAUUACGUCAUCCGUCUACAUAAUUGUGUACAGUAACGCUCAAGAACAUGAAAACAUUGGCUACAGACUAGAGAAAGAAAGAGAGGGAGGGAGCCUCUGAUGCUUCACGCGCUAACUGAACGGGACCUUGGUCGUCAUGCCGGGACGCGCUUGCAUCGGCACCAGAAGGCGGUGCCGCCGCCCUUGCCCUGCGCCACGGCGAUCUCCUCGUCCACGUAGAACCACAGGAAGAAGGGGUCCUUGGUGCUCGGCUCCCUGCUCGUGUCGCCGCCGCCGAGUGGGAUCUCCAGGGAGGGCAGCGGACCGACCUUGACGCGUAUCCGCUCGAAGACGAAGGCCAGGAUCUUCUUCUUCCACGACAGCCGCCCCUCGAAGGUCAGACUCCCCACCGGGCCCAGGUACACGCCGUUCUCGAUCCUCUGGCCCUGCCGAAGAAGAUGGCUUCAGAGUUUCAGUUACAGAAAGACCAUCAUCAAGAUUCAGAGUUUCAGUUUCAGUCACAGAAGUUCCAUUUUUGUGAAGAAUCGGAUGCCAUGGCUGAGAUGCGAGAGAAGCAUGAGGAGCUCACUCACCGCGGCGUCGAAGCGCUGGACGGCGGUCACCGGGAAGUAGCUGCCUUUCUCGAGCUUACUACCCUGCGAGACAUUCAGAAGCGCUGGACCAAUCAAUCAACCGCCUAAUGCAAAACUGGAAAUCUGAGGCUGGAAAAUGCCGAAUUGUGCGCUUGUUGCUCGCCUGGCCGGUGAAGAUGAGCAUCCACGUCCUGCCCGGCGACUCGGUCCCGCCGAGGGUCUCGAAGAAGGUGGAGGUGUCGAGCUUGGCCUUCUUGAUCUUGGCCAGCGCCGCCAGCACCUCCGCGGCCGGCACCUUCCUCGUCUUGGCCGCGUCCUUGAGCACCUUCACGCUCUCCGCCACGGCCUGCGCUGAACCAGAACCAAGAAACCAUCUUAAAUGACAACCAGAUUGGGGGCAGUUUUUGUCAGUGAGAUGGGAGAUGGUGGGGCCAUGGCGAUGCUCGCUGCUCACCGAUAGGUCGGAGGGCUCGUCAGGAGGCGCAGGGGGCGACGAGGAGGGCUCCUUCUCUACGUCCGGCGACGCGGCGGCGGCGGCGGUCAGCGAGACGCCGCGGGGACGGCGAGGGCUCGAGCGGAGGCCGAGCUGCGGGCGACGCGGCAGGGGCGGCGAGGAGGCCGGAGCGAGCGUGGAAGGGUGGAGCAAGGAGGCGGACGAGGCCAUCUUCUUCCUCUUGCUCGGGCAGGCAGGUUGCUCUGUUCUUCCGGCGAGGUGCCGAGAUGGUAACCACGAGUUUGGACUUUGGAGUGUGUGGCUCUGUGGCUGUGGAGGAAAGAGGGCCGAGUGGACACUUGGGGUGGGCGC